rnacentral:rRNA from 1 species
UACGAAGGGUGCAAGCGUUACUCGGAAUUACUGGGCGUAAAGCGUGCGUAGGUGGUUUGUUAAGUCUGAUGUGAAAGCCCUGGGCUCAACCUGGGAAUUGCAUUGGAUACUGGCAGGCUAGAGUGCGGUAGAGGGUAGUGGAAUUCCCGGUGUAGCAGUGAAAUGCGUGGAGAUCGGGAGGAACAUCCGUGGCGAAGGCGACUACCUGGACCAGCACUGACACUGAGGCACGAAAGCGUGGGGAGCAAACAGG